GGCUGUGUAGUGUAGUGGUUUAGCACAUGGGAUUUUGACGAAUCCAAUCUUCCCAUAACCGCGGUUCGAAUCCGCGCACGGUCA
rfam:Exidia glandulosa HHB12029 unplaced genomic scaffold EXIGLscaffold_265, whole genome shotgun sequence.